rnacentral:lncRNA from 1 species
UUGGAAAUUGCUUGUGUUGGAAAUUGUAAUUCACAUAUGUUCUUGAGAUAGGAUUUAGACGAAAUUCCAUGAAUUCUAGGAUUGAAUUGAGCACCCUUCAGCUUAGGUCUGUAAAUCUUAAGUUUGGGGGAACUGAGGAGUAGAUAUACCUUUCUAAAAAAAAAAAAAAAAAAAAAAAAAAAAAAAAAAAAAAAAAAAAAAAAAAAAAAAAAAAAAAAAAAAAAAAAAAAAAAAAAAAAUAGUAGUAAAUAAAUUCACUAAAAAAAUAAGUGGUAGAAUUAACUAGGUUGAGCUCAUUAGUACUCGAGUAAUUAAGUCUGAGGGGACUUUGUGCCUAACAACCUAAAGCCCUUCGUGGUUUGGGGAUUGUUGACCCAACGCUCGCUACAUGGGUACUAGUGCAUAAAUCUUUAGGGAUCUCAACCAUUGCACGGUUAAAUAAACCACUAGAAUAGAGUGAAUAAUUGGUGUGUGAAGUCUUGUGGUGUUCGUAACGCAUUUACACUGCGAAGCGCUCUGACCUUAGACCGAGCAAUUAAUCACCAAUAAAAAAAAGAAAAAAAAAUAGUGAAUAAAAUAGAAG